ensembl:snRNA U1 U1 spliceosomal RNA
AUUCUUACCUGGGGGGAAGAUGCCAUGAUCACAAAGGUGGUCUUCCCAGGGCAAGGCUUAUCCAUUGCACUCCAGAUGUGCUGACCCCUGAGGUUUCCCCAAAUGUGGGAAACUUGGCUGCAUAAUUUGUGGUACUGGGGGACUAUGUUUGUGCUCAAG